rnacentral:lncRNA from 1 species
ACAAGCUUGAAGCUGAGUUUCCACUGGAUAGCCUCCAGAAGCGACUUGAAAACUUGGAGAAGGCCAAAGUGGAGAAGAAAAAGCCUUCCGGUGCUGGUCCUGCCAACAAGCGGACCCGAGCCAAUAAUGGGGGACCGAUGCCACCUGCCAAGGCUGGUCGUCUCACAAACAAUGCCUGUGUCUCCUCCUUCCCUGCUGGUCCUGCCUAUGUACGAUCGCCGUCAGCCCACACCACCUACCCAGC